rnacentral:lncRNA from 1 species
CUUUGACUUCCUGGUUCUGUUUCUCUUCUCUGAGGUUCCUGUUUUGGAUAAGCUCACGUCAGAAGAACCAUGUGGAGAUAAAUGACGAGGGGCCAGAUGUCUUCAAAGACAUGAUGGGCUUUAUCUGCUCAGGCAAGGCCCCCCAACCUGGGCAAGAUGGCUGACGACCUGCUGGCUGCAGCUGGCAGGGUUACUCUUCACCCCCUUUGAACAAAGACCUGCUGAGGCUAAAGCGACGACAUCUGCAGAACGUGGAUCUCAUCAACACCAGAGGUCACGCAACCCCGAAGAACCCCCC